AUUGAACGCUGGCGGCAUGCCUUACACAUGCAAGUCGAACGGUAACGCGGGGCAACCUGGCGACGAGUGGCGAACGGGUGAGUAAUGCAUCGGAACGUGCCCAGUAGUGGGGGAUAACUGCUCGAAAGAGCAGCUAAUACCGCAUACGACCUGAGGGUGAAAGCGGGGGAUCGCAAGACCUCGCGCUAUUGGAGCGGCCGAUGUCAGAUUAGGUAGUUGGUGGGGUAAAGGCCCACCAAGCCAACGAUCUGUAGCUGGUCUGAGAGGACGACCAGGCACGCUGGGACUGAGAGACGGCCCAGACUCCUACGGGAGGCAGCAGUGGGGAAUUUUGGACAAUGGACGCAAGUCUGAUCCAGCCAUGCCGCGUGCGGGAAGAAGGCCUUCGGGUUGUAAACCGCUUUUGUCAGGGAAGAAACGCUCUGGGUUAAUACCUCGGGGUAAUGACGGUACCUGAAGAAUAAGCACCGGCUAACUACGUGCCAGCCGCCGCAGUAACAC
rnacentral:rRNA from 1 species